GGGGGAACACUGGGGACUCAGGGUUUGGGGUGCGGAGUGGGGGGGAAGCGAGGUACUGGAGUGCAGGGCAUGGAGGUCUGGGGGCGGCUGGAUUCGGGGGUGCAGGGGGGUUUAUGAUCAGAAUGGCGGGUAUUGCGGUAUGGGAGGAAGGGUGUAGGGUUGCAGGGGGUGCUGCAGUGGGGUUGGAGGAUGGUGUGGGAGGCAGAGGUGAACGUGAGGAGGCCGGAGCAGACGGUUUGGGGGGCUUGGGAUGCAGUGAGGGCCUGGGAGGACAGAGUGUGGGGUUCUGUGGUGGGCUGGGGGAGGCAGCUGUCGGGGUGCAGAGGGGAUAUUGGGGUGUAGUGAGGGCCUGGGGGCUGCAAUGGGGGCUGGAAGAGGCAGGGUUUGGGGGGCUGGAGCUUUGGGGGCUGCAGGGUUUGGGGUCUCUGGGGGUUUUGGGACUGUGUAGGGUGUCUGUAGGAGGGCUGGGGUGCUGUGCAAGGACAGCUCUGGGCUGUGGCUGCUCCCUGGGGAGGUGCUGGGCCCACAGCAGGGUGGGAGCGCAGAGUGGGGCCCAUGGGGUGUAAGGGGUGAGCUGUGUGGUGGGGAGGGGGCUGCAACAGCCAGAGCAGGGUUUGUUUUUGCUGUGUGUCCCAGAUCUUUGUGUGUCCCAGGGUGUCCUGCCGGGGCUCAGCCCCAGAUGGUGACACGGGUGGGACUGGGUGCUGCCAUUGCUGAGGUGAGGGAGCAGCAGGUGGCUGGAGCAGGAGGUGAUUCUGCAUGAUAGUGAGAGCUGCUCCUGCAGUUUGGUAAUUCCUGUGUGGUGUUAUUGGGUUAUCACAGAAUCAUAGAAGGGUUUGGGCUGAAAGGGAAAAUAGAGACCCUCUCCUUCCAGCCCCUGCCAUGGACAGGGACACCUUCCCCUAUCCCAGGUUGCCCCAAGCCCCAUCCAGCCUGGCCUUGAAUAUGUCCAGGCAGUUCUCUGGCUGUUUACCCAGAAGAAGUGGCCACAGCUUCCCUGGGCAUCCUGUGCCAGGGCCUCCCCACCCUCCCUAAUACCCCUUGUCUGUGCCUGUUGAAACCAUUCCUCCCUAUCCUGGCACUCCAUGCUCUUGUAAAAACUCCCCCUCCAGCUUUCCUGUGGGUUAUAGAAAGCAGCUGUGCCUAAUGGAUGGUGAACAUGAAUAAAAUCCGUUUUUCAAAGCUGA